rnacentral:rRNA from 1 species
UGUGGUGGGGCGCUAAAUUUGGGAGCUAAGGUGCUCAUGUCACCAUGUCAAGAACAGUCUCGAACUGGGCUAGAUGUACCNGUACCGCAGACCGUGACAGGUGGGUGAGGAGAGUUUCCUAGGGCCGUCGAGCGCACUGUUGUUAAGGACCUCGGCAAAAUGACCCCGUAACUUAGGGAUAAGGGGUGCCACCAGCAGGUGGCCGCAGAGAAUAGGCCCAAGCGACUGUUUACCAAACACAUAGGUUUCUGCGAAGUCGCAAGACGAGGUAUAGGAGCUGACGCCUGCCCGGUGCUGGAAGGUUAAGGGGGUCUGUUAGAGAAAUAGCAGCAGUGAACUUAAGCACCAGUAAACGGCGGCAGUAACUAUUACGGGCUUAGGGAAGCGAAAUAUCUUGUCGGGUGUGAUCCGACCCGACCGACAGACGCAACGCAUUCGGCUCUGUCGCGACAUCAGCCACGGU